GUCAAAGCGUUCAUUAAAGUCGAGUUGGCUUAGGGAUACGUUCGUUGGGUAGGGGAGCGUUCUGUAAGCCUGUGAAGGUGUGUCGUGAGGCAUGCUGGAGGUAUCAGAAGUGCGAAUGCUGACAUAAGUAACGAUAAAGCGGGUGAAAAGCCCGCUCGCCGGAAGACCAAGGGUUCCUGUCCAACGUUAAUCGGGGCAGGGUGAGUCGACCCCUAAGGCGAGGCCGAAAGGCGUAGUCGAUGGGAAACGGGUUAAUAUUCCCGUACUUGGUGUUACUGCGAAGGGGGGACGGAGAAGGCUAUGUUGGCCGGGCGACGGUUGUCCCGGUUUAAGCGUGUAGGUGUGUGUUCCAGGUAAAUCCGGUUCACUUUAACACUGAGGCGUGACGACGAGGCACUACGGUGCUGA
rnacentral:rRNA from 1 species